rnacentral:hammerhead_ribozyme from 1 species
AUACUGCUGAGGAGUCUGAAAAUAAGACGAAACACCUGUCCAGUAC